rnacentral:lncRNA from 1 species
UAGACACCAACAUUAUUUGCCGAGCUUAAUAUUUUUUUUGAUUGGGUAUAUAUAGUUAUACUUUGCACGUAGAUAUGUUGUUUUACAAUAAUAAACGGGUCUUGGGAGUAUUUUAGCUCUGAAAGAUGACCAAAAUCAACCAUUUUGGACAUGAGGCUAAAUAAGACAUAUUGAAACAGUUAGAUUAUACAUACACUUUAUAGACAGCAUUGUUAUGUCUAUGCAUUCUUACACUUGAAG